rnacentral:rRNA from 1 species
AUUGAACGCUGGCGGCAGGCCUAACACAUGCAAGUCGAGCGGGGUUUUCGGACCUAGCGGCGGACGGGUGAGUAAUGCGUAGGAAGCUGCCCGAUAGAGGGGGAUACCAGUUGGAAACGACUGUUAAUACCGCAUAAUGUCUACGGACCAAAGUGGGGGACCUUCGGGCCACAUGCUAUCGGAUGCGCCUACGUGGGAUUAGCUAGUUGGUGAGGUAAUGGCUCACCAAGGCGACGAUCUCUAGCUGGUUUGAGAGGAUGAUCAGCCACACUGGAACUGAGACACGGUCCAGACUACUACGGGAGUCAGCAGUGGGGAAUAUUGGACAAUGGGCGCAAGCCUGAUCCAGCCAUGCCGCGUGUGUGAAGAAGGCCUUCGGGUUGUAAAGCACUUUCAGCGAGGAGGAAGGGUGGUGUGUUAAUAGCACAUCAUUUUGACGUUACUCGCAGAAGAAGCACCGGCUAACUCUGUGCCAGCCGCCGCAGUAAAAC